AUUGAACGCUGGCGGCAGGCCUAACACAUGCAAGUCGAACGAGUGGCGGACGGGUGAGUAAUGUCUGGGAAACUGCCCGAUGGAGGGGGAGAACUACUGGAAACGGUAGCUAAUACCGCAUACCAUCGGAUGUGCGCAGAUGGGAUUAGCUUGUAGGGGGGGAAACGGCUCACCUGGGCGACGCUCCCUAGCUGGGCUGAGAGGAUGACCAGCCACACGGGAACUGAGACACGGCCCAGACUCCUACGGGAGGCAGCAGUGGGGAAUAUUGCACAAUGGGCGCAAGCCUGAUGCAGCCAUGCCGCGUGUAUGAAGAAGGCCUUCGGGUUGUAAAGUACUUUCAGCGGUGAGGCGUUACCCGCAGAAGAAGCACCGGCUAACUCCGUGCCAGCCGCCGCGGUAAUUC
rnacentral:rRNA from 1 species